AGAUUGAUCAUUCCAUCUGUUUGAGCUAUGGGAUUAGAAUUUCAUCAUACUCCGGUAUCAUCAUUCGCCGAAUCCGGUUUCUAUCUGCUUGAGCUAAGGAAUUAACAGUUCUUUAUAGGCUGCUAUCAUCAAUCACUGAAUUGAAUCUGCUUAGAACUUCUAUGGAGAAUAGUACUUCUACCUUUGACAAAGAGAAGGCACAAGAACGGUUAUAAAAGCUCUCUAGUGGUGUUGCUGUUUUCAAGGUCCUCCAUUUGUUCCUGAAAUAUGAUCCCUUACCGGACCAAGUUGAGUGGCAUGGGGUGGAUAAAGAAACUGAAGAUUCUAAGACCCCUUUUAUAGCAAGGGUUUUUGCUAGCAUCUCGAGUCUCUCGAGUUUGCCUGAUCUUGAUCCCAAAGAUGGAGCAAUCGUAAGAGGCGAUACUCCUAUGUCAGUCACAUGUUUUGCUGCUCCUAGUUGAUCGAUGAUGUAUGUGGUCUCCCUAAUUAUAAUCUUUUAAUGAUUGCAGGGGUAAAUGAUGAAUCUGGUUGAUCCCAUUUUGUUUGGCAGGAUAACCAGUUUCGUGUGUUCUAAUUAUUGUUGCAUAUGUUGUAAUUAUUUUUGUAUAUGUUCUAAUUGUUGUAUUUGCUAUAAACAGUACU